AGGAUCAGUAAAGAGUAAGGGAGUUAAGCGCCCGACCUCCAGCCCUUUGUUGUUAAAACUACCUUGUUGCUUUGGCGGGACCGCUCGGUCUCGAGACGGUGGGGAUUGGUCCCAGGCGAGCGCCCSCCAGAGUUAAACCAAACUCAUGUCAUUUANCCGGUGGUUGGAGUAAAAAUUUUGAAUAAAUCAAAACUUUCAACANCGCAUGUGGUGGUUCUCGCAUUGAAGAAGAACGCAGUGAAAUGAGAUAAGUAAUGCGAAUUGCAGAAUUCAGUGAAUCAUCGAAUCUUUGAACGCACAUUGCCACCCGAGGUAUUGCGAGGGGCAUGCCUGUUCGAGAGUCAUUACACCACUCAAGCUAUGCUUGGUAUUGGGUGUGGUCCUUAGUUGGGCGCGCCUUAAAGACCUCGGCGAGGCCACUCCGGCAUUAGGAGUAGUAGAAUUUAUUCGAACAUGGGUCAAAGGAGAGGAAAUGGGCGGGGGUGAGACCUUGAUCUUCUAGGUUACCUAGUAUCAUGU
rnacentral:rRNA from 1 species